rnacentral:rRNA from 1 species
UACGGGGGGAGCAAGCGUUGUUCGGAUUUACUGGGCGUAAAGGGCGCGUAGGCGGUCAGCACAAGUCAGUUGUGAAAUCUCCGGGCUUAACUCGGAAAGGUCAACUGAUACUGUGCGACUAGAGUGCGGAAGGGGCAACUGGAAUUCUCGGUGUAGCGGUGAAAUGCGUAGAUAUCGGGAGGAACACCAGUGGCGAAGGCAGCUCGCUGGGACGGUACUGACGCUGAGGCGCGAAAGCGUGGGGAGCAAACAGG